CGGCUAUCAUCGACUAGCACCACAUCAUCCGCAAAGAGCAUACACCAUGGGAUGUCUCCUUGUAUAUCCCUUGUGACCUCAUCCAUCACCAAAUCAAAAAGGUAAGGGCUCAAAGCUGACCCUUGGUGUAGCCCUAUUCUAAUUGGAAAGUCAUCAGUGUCGCCAUCGCUUGUUAGAACACUUGUCACAACAUUAUCAUACAUAUCCUUGAUGAGGGUAAUGUACUUUAUUGGGACUUUGUGUUUCUCCAAGGCCCACCACAUGACAUUCCGAGGUAUCUUAUCAUAGGCCUUCUCCAAAUCAAUGAACACCAUAUGAAGGUCCUUCUUUUGCUCCCUGUAUCUCUCCAUCAGCUGUCGUACCAAGAAGAUGGCUUCCAUGGUAGACCUCCUAGGCAUGAAACCAAAUUGGUUUUUGGUCACGCUUGUCAACCUUCUUAAGCGGUGCUCAAUGACUCUCUCCCAUAGCUUCAUAGUAUGGCUCAUCAGCUUGAUUCCACGGUAAUUAGUACAACUUUGAACAUCCCC